AUUCAAGUUUUGUGCCUCUUACCAUUCAAAAGACAAGUUUUCUCCCCGGUAUCUUUGUACUGACGGAGACAUUGGUUUAGACGAAAAAGAUAAGGCAAGACAAGCACUAAAGGUAUUGCAACAGAGUGAC